rnacentral:rRNA from 1 species
UUAGUGGCGAACGGGUGAGUAACACGUGGGCAAUCUGCCCUGCACUCUGGGACAAGCCCUGGAAACGGGGUCUAAUACCGGAUACGACCACUGAGGGCAUCCUCGGUGGUGGAAAGCUCCGGCGGUGCAGGAUGAGCCCGCGGCCUAUCAGCUUGUUGGUGGGGUGAUGGCCUACCAAGGCGACGACGGGUAGCCGGCCUGAGAGGGCGACCGGCCACACUGGGACUGAGACACGGCCCAGACUCCUACGGGAGGCAGCAGUGGGGAAUAUUGCACAAUGGGCGAAAGCCUGAUGCAGCGACGCCGCGUGAGGGAUGACGGCCUUCGGGUUGUAAACCUCUUUCAGCAGGGAAGAAGCGAAAGUGACGGUACCUGCAGAAGAAGCGCCGGCUAACUACGUGCCAGCAGCCGCGGUAAUACGUAGGGCGCGAGCGUUGUCCGGAAUUAUUGGGCGUAAAGAGCUCGUAGGCGGCUUGUCACGUCGGUUGUGAAAGCCCGGGGCUUAACCCCGGGUCUGCAGUCGAUACGGGCAGGCUAGAGUUCGGUAGGGGAGAUCGGAAUUCCUGGUGUAGCGGUGAAAUGCGCAGAUAUCAGGAGGAACACCGGUGGCGAAGGCGGA